rnacentral:rRNA from 1 species
GAGUUUGAUCCUGGCUCAGGAUAAACGCUGGCGGCGCACAUAAGACAUGCAAGUCGAACGGACUUAACUCAUUCUUUUAGUUUGAGAGCGGUUAGUGGCGGACUGGUGAGUAACACGUAAGCAACCUGCCUAUUAGAGGGGAAUAACAGUGAGAAAUCAUUGCUAAUACCGCAUAUGCUAACAGUAUCGCAUGAUACAGUUAGGAAAGGAGCAAUCCGCUAAUAGAUGGGCUUGCGUCUGAUUAGUUAGUUGGUGGGGUAACGGCCUACCAAGACUACGAUCAGUAGCCGGACUGAGAGGUUGAACGGCCACAUUGGGACUGAGAUACGGCCCAGACUCCUACGGGAGGCAGCAGUCGGGAAUAUUGCGCAAUGGAGGAAACUCUGACGCAGUGACGCCGCGUAUAGGAAGAAGGUUUUCGGAUUGUAAACUAUUGUCGUUAGGGAAGAUAAAAGACUGUACCUAAGGAGGAAGCCCCGGCUAACUAUGUA